AAACCCCAGAAGAGUACAAGCUCAUUUGCGAAAGCAUGUGUAAACAGCUUGAUUCUGAAGGAUCAGUAAAAUCUGUAAAACAGGAAUUGGCAAAAACAGACAGUUCCAGCUCAAGCAUAAAAUCUUCAAGAAAACCAUCUGCUAAAACCUCCAAGAAGAAAGCUAAAGGGAAAAAGAAGCAGUCAAGCUCAGAUUCAGAGUC
rnacentral:lncRNA from 1 species